rfam:Myotis brandtii contig222462, whole genome shotgun sequence.
AGUCCCGGAGAGAAAGGAAGGCUCUGAUCCGCAGCCUCCGUGGCAGCUGUUGAUCAGCCAUUGCCUCUCUCUUUCUCUCUG